UUAACAAUGAAUAAGUAUUUUAAAAUACUUACGUAUAUUUCUAAUUUACAGAUGUAAAUGGAAAGACUUCUAUCCAGAUAGCUCCAGACAAAAUGGCGGACAAGAUCACGAGGACGUGACGACAUUCGUUUUGCCGGCCGGAUGGCCGAGUGGUCACGGUAGCAGCCCACCGCUCUAGGAGACCCGGGAUCGAAUCCAAACGGGUCAAAAAAAACUCCAGGAAUUUUUUCGGGAUAUGUCGGGCCCUUCCCUCACCACCGGCCGCCCCAUUGUGGGCCUGACCGAACUCAUAAUGGGCCUGCUAAAAAAAGAGGCCCUGUUAAUGCCCAGGUGGGGUGAAAAAAGUUAAAAAAAUCCUAGUACAUAAAAGUUUUUUAUCGACUUAUUCAAACGAAUUUCGUGUAAUUUUCGGAGAUCGACAAGCCUCAGAAAGUAGAAUUUAAGAAGAUCGUCUUUUACUUCUCCACUGUGGACAUUCUGCCCGAUGUAAAUGCCAAAGAUAAUUUAUUUAUCAAAUUCCGAACACAAAAAAAUGAUUGAAGCAAAAUUUAAAAAAAUUAUGAUUUUAUUAAAUAAAAAAAAUUAAUAAGAUUGAUUUUUUUUUUGUUCUAAUUUUUACGAAAUUCGAACAUUGUCGACGCGUCUUUUAACGUUUGUUCGAAAUUUGUCACACAUGACGAUUCGCAGCGAGUUUCUGUUUCUCGUUGGCGUCGGACUUGCUUUUCUCUCGCUCUUAAUUGUGUGCUGUUUUUGCUGUUCCGGAGUUUUCGAAAGACGACAAAAGAUUUUUCAGGUAAGUCUUAGUCCAUAUUGACCCUAGACGUACGAAUUUAUUUAAUAUUCUCAAACGAAUCGUUGCCAGAAGACAUCUCGGCCCAUCGUUCGAUGGUCGAUUCGAAUGUUUUAGAUUUAAUUAGGGAACUGCGGUGAGCAUUUUGUUUUUCUCGUCGACGUAAUUUAAGCUUCUGUUUUCACUCGACUAAUUGCAAAUUUUCUUUUUUACAGAAUGAAGAUAUUGGAGUGGAUCAGGAGGAGGUUCUGACGAAGGAAGACGGUGGCGCCGGAGGGAGGGGUUUCCUCUGAUGGCUCUGGCGGCGCUCGGACUCUUACCGCACCCGAAGAGACGUUGGAGGACCGGGGACUCGACCGUGUCUCUUCACAAUCGAUUAGUUCGGUGUCGGUAGAGACCGUCGAGCAAGAGGCAGCUAGCGACGACUUACCCCAAUUAACCUACAGAUGAUGCUUGCUUGGCGAUGAUAUGUAUAUCAUUGAUACGUUGGAAGAGACCAAUGACGACUAACAGUCUGUCACUGGUUCCACCUUGGGCUGGCGACCUCACUGGAGAGAGGGCCACAGCGGAUACAAUACCUGGCAAGCACGAUCUUGUUUAUAUACAGUACUUGCAUGGGCGUAGCGAGGGGGGAGCCUGGGUGGGCACGGCCCCUCCCAGAGAACCUGGUGCCCCUCCAGGAAAUCACAGCCGAAAAAGUGUUGAGUCGAUUUGUAAACACCUAAAGCUAAAAUAAAAGUUUUGAAUACUAAAAAAAAGUGAACGGCUUGCUCGGUGCCCAAUAAUGAACAAUAAUUUGAAAUAAUUCAAUUUUGUGUCAGGUCGGCCUCCACUAGGCCCCCCCAUAACAAAACUCUGGCUACGCCCAUGAGUACUUGAGGAAGAUCUUGUACAGGUUAUUGUCAUUAAUUAACGAGGAUGCAGGGCCAUGACAUAUUGUAUUAUAACCUUCUCACUUUCUCACUGUUUUUGUAUUUUGUAGGAACAUUUGGGAGGGAGAAGAAUAUCUUUCCCCAACUUUACCAGGAAGAGGACGACGUGACCAUUUAUCAUUCAAGUGAAUAUUUUCCGAAACCUCCGAUUACAUGCCGAAAGUUGUUUUUGAAUCACACAAACACAAAAUUGAAAUUAGUAAUGAGAAGAAUAAAGUUCACAAUAACCUAAGAAAGAUUAAAUAAUCUUUUGGUGAUCGACAUUGAAAAAAUUGCUAUUAAAUAUCAGGUAAAUGAGAUAUUCUUCGAUUUGCAAAUACCAACUUGUCGCCGUGAAGACUGAACCAAGUGAAGCUGUGCGAAACGUGAAGCCGAAACGGACUGUUUGUUAACUAUGUUAAGUGUAAAGUGAGUCUUAAAUCACGACAGAUAUAGGCGUAUAAUUUUAUAUGUAAUAGCUUUAAUUAAUUAAUAUUUACGCAUCAUAUUUUAUAUAUCUGUUACUUAUACAGUGUU